AUUGAACGCUGGCGGCAGGCCUAACACAUGCAAGUCGAACGCGUGGCGGACGGGUGAGUAAUGUCUGGGAAACUGCCUUAUGGAGGGGGAUAACUACUGGAAACGGUGGCUAAUACCGCAUACCUUUGGAUUAGCCAUGAUGGGAUUAGCUAGUAGGUGGGGUAAAGGCUCACCUAGGCCACGAUCCCUAGCUGGUCUGAGAGGAUGACCGGCCACACUGGAACUGAGACACGGUCCAGACUCCUACGGGAGGCAGCAGUGGGGAAUAUUGCACAAUGGGCGAAAGCCUGAUGCAGCCAUGCCGCGUGUAUGAAGAAGGCCUUCGGGUUGUAAAGCACUGUCAGCGGGGAGGCGUUACUUGAAGAAGAAGCACCGGCUAACUCCGUGCCAGCAGCCGCGGUAAUUC
rnacentral:rRNA from 1 species